UCGGAGCUAAACUCCCAACCCCUGUGACAUACCAAUUGUUGCCUCGGCGGAUCAGCCCGCUCCCGGUAAAACGGGACGGCCCGCCAGAGGACCCCUAAACUCUGUUUCUAUAUGUAACUUCUGAGUAAAACCAUAAAUAAAUCAAAACUUUCAACAACGGAUCUCUUGGUUCUGGCAUCGAUGAAGAACGCAGCAAAAUGCGAUAAGUAAUGUGAAUUGCAGAAUUCAGUGAAUCAUCGAAUCUUUGAACGCACAUUGCGCCCGCCAGUAUUCUGGCGGGCAUGCCUGUUCGAGCGUCAUUUCAACCCUCAAGCCCCCGGGUUUGGUGUUGGGGAUCGGCGAGCCUCACGGCAAGCCGGCCCCGAAAUACAGUGGCGGUCUCGCUGCAGCUUCCAUUGCGUAGUAGUAAAACCCUCGCAACUGGUACGCGGCGCGGCCAAGCCGUUAAACCCCCAACUUCUGAAUGUUGACCUCGGAUCAGGUAGGAAUACCCGCUGAACUUAAGCAUAUCAAUAAGCGGAGGAA
rnacentral:rRNA from 1 species